UGAGGAUAAACCGCGUUAGGUCAUCACUUCUGGAAUGGGUAAUGACUUAAAUCUAUAUGGCCCCUGGAUUGGACUGCGGCCGAUCAGGCUGUUGGUGAGGUAAUGGCCCACCAAACCUGUAACCGGUACGGGCUCUGAGAGGAGGAGCCCGGAGAUGGGCACUGAGACAAGGGCCCAGGCCCUAUGGGGCGCAGCAGGCGCGAAACCUCUGCAAUAGGCGAAAGCCUGACAGGGUUACUCUGAGUGAUUUCCGUUAAGGAGAUCUUUUGGCACCUCUAAAAAUGGUGCAGAAUAAGGGGUGGGCAAGCCUGGUGUCAGCCGCCGCGGUAAUACCAGCACCCCGAGUGGUCGGGACGUUUAUUGGGCCUAAAGCAUCCGUAGCCGGUUCUACAAGUCUUCCGUUAAAUCCACCUGCUUAACAGAUGGGCUGCGGAAGAUACUAUAGAGCUAGGAGGCGGGAGAGGCAAGCGGUACUCGAUGGGUAGGGGUAAAAUCCGUUGAUCCAUUGAAGACCACCAGUGGCGAAGGCGGCUUGCCAGAACGCGCUCGACGGUGAGGGAUGAAAGCUGGGGGAGCAAACCGGAUUAGAUACCCGGGUAGUCCCAGCUGUAAACGAUGCAGACUCGGUGAUGAGUUGGCUUAUUGCUAACUCAGUACCGCAGGGAAGCCGUUAAGUUUGCCGCCUGGGGAGUACGGUCGCAAGACUGAAACUUAAAGGAAUUGGCGGGGGAGCACCACAAGGGGUGAAGCCUGCGGUUCAAUUGGAGUCAACGCCGGAAAUCUUACCGGGGGCGACAGCAGAGUGAAGGUCAAGCUGAAGACUUUACCAGACAAGCUGAGAGGAGGUGCAUGGCCGUCGCCAGCUCGUGCCGUGAGGUGUCCUGUUAAGUCAGGUAACGAGCGAGACCCC
rnacentral:rRNA from 1 species